rnacentral:rRNA from 1 species
AGUUAUAUGCUUGUCUCAAAGAUUAAGCCAUGCAUGUCUAAGUACACACCGAUUUAUGGUGAAACCGCAAAAGGCUCAUUAUAUCAGUUAUGGUUCCUUAGAUCAUAUCCAAAUUUACUUGGAUAACUGUGGUAAUUCUAGAGCUAAUACAUGCAAUUUAACACGGACCGUAAGGAACGUGUGCUUUUAUUAGAUUAAAACCAAUCGACUCAGCAAUGGGUCGAAACAAAGGUGAAUCUGGAUAACUUUGGCUGAUCGCAUGGUCUUUGUACCGGCGACAGAUCUUUCAAAUGUCUGCCCUAUCAACUAUUGAUGGUAGUAUCUUGGACUACCAUGGUUGCAACGGGUAACGGGGAAUCAGGGUUCGAUUCCGGAGAGGGAGCCUGAGAAACGGCUACCACAUCUAAGGAAGGCAGCAGGCGCGUAAAUUACCCACUCCCAGCACGGGGAGGUAGUGACGAAAAAUAACAAUACAGGACUCACAUCCGAGGCCCUGUAAUUGGAAUGAGUACACUUUAAAUCCUUUAACGAGGAUCAAUUGGAGGGCAAGUCUGGUGCCAGCAGCCGCGGUAAUUCCAGCUCCAAUAGCGUAUAUUAAAGUUGUUGCGGUUAAAACGUUCGUAGUUGAAUUUGUGUCUAGCACGGGUAGUCCGCCGAAUGUGGUUAGGUAAUACCUUGAUGCUUAGACGUAUUACUGGUGGGGCUAAAUUAAUUUCGGUUAAUUUACCCUAGUUAAACUACCUACUUCAGUGCUCUUAACCGAGUGUUGUUGUGGGCCAGUACAUUUACUUUGAACAAAUUAGAGUGCUUAAAGCAGGCUAUAUGCCUGAAUAUUUUGUGCAUGGAAUAAUGGAAUAGGACCUCUGCUCUAUUUUCAUUGGUUUUUAGACCAAGAGG